rnacentral:rRNA from 1 species
GAUGAACGCUGGCGGCGUGCCUAAUACAUGCAAGUCGAGCGAACGGACGAGAGGCUUGCUUUUCUGAUGUUAGCGGCGGACGGGUGAGUAACACGUGGAUAACCUACCUAUAAGACUGGGAUAACUUCGGGAAACCGGAGCUAAUACCGGAUAAUAUUUUGAACCGCAUGGUUCAAAAGUGAAAGACGGUCUUGCUGUCACUUAUAGAUGGAUCCGCGCUGCAUUAGCUAGUUGGUAAGGUAACGGCUUACCAAGGCAACGAUGCAUAGCCGACCUGAGAGGGUGAUCGGCCACACUGGAACUGAGACACGGUCCAGACUCCUACGGGAGGCAGCAGUAGGGAAUCUUCCGCAAUGGGCGAAAGCCUGACGGAGCAACGCCGCGUGAGUGAUGAAGGUCUUCGGAUCGUAAAACUCUGUUAUUAGGGAAGAACAUACGUGUAAGUAACUGUGCACAUCUUGACGGUACCUAAUCAGAAAGCCACGGCUAACUACGUG